rnacentral:tRNA from 1 species
UCCCUGGUGGUCCAGUGGUUAAGACUCUGAGCUUCCAAUGCAGGGGGCAUAGGUUUGAUCCCUGGUCUGGGAA